CAGUAGCCACGGUAAUACGAAGGGUGCAAGCGUUAAUCGGAAUUACUGGGCGUAAAGCGUGCGUAGGCGGUGAGUUAAGUCUGCUGUGAAAUCCCCGGGCUCAACCUGGGAAUGGCAGUGGAUACUGGCUCGCUAGAGUGUGUCAGAGGAUGGUGGAAUUCCCGGUGUAGCGGUGAAAUGCGUAGAGAUCGGGAGGAACAUCAGUGGCGAAGGCGGCCAUCUGGGACAACACUGACGCUGAGGCACGAAAGCGUGGGGAGCAAACAGGAUUAGAUACCCGCGUAGUCCCUGUCUCUUAUAC
rnacentral:rRNA from 1 species